CAAAAGCUGGAAAUGUAGCAGUGGUUCAAGUGGUAGAGCACUAGCCUUGAGCAAGAAACUUGAAGAACACUGCUCAGGCUCUGAGCUUAAGCCCCAGAACCAGCACAAAAUAUAAAACUUACAAGCUGUAUGGAAAGAAAAUAAGCACAGAAUGCAAAACCAGCUAAAGCCACCAGCACAACCAUGCUCAUUGCAGCAUUGUUUAAACAUAGCCAAGAGCUGGAAUCAACUCAGACGCCCCUCAACAGACAAAUGGAUCAAGAAAACGUGGUAAACAUCUUCAAGUUGCCUGAGAAAAUCUUAACCAGGAGCCAGUGGAUCCCACCUGUCAUCCUAGCUACUGAGGAGGCUGAGAUCUGAGGAUCGUGGUUCGAGGCCAGCCUGGGCAGGAAAG